rnacentral:rRNA from 1 species
UGGGGAAUAUUGGACAAUGGGCGAAAGCCUGAUCCAGCCAUGCCGCGUGUGUGAAGAAGGUCUUCGUAUUGUAAAGCACUUUAAGUUGGGAGGAAGGGCAGUAAGCGAAUACCUUGCUGUUUUGACGUUACCGACAGAAUAAGCACCGGCUAACUCUGUGCCAGCAGCCGCGGUAAUACAGAGGGUGCAAGCGUUAAUCGGAAUUACUGGGCGUAAAGCGCGCGUAGGUGGUUCGUUAAGUUGAAUGUGAAAGCCCCGGGCUCAACCUGGGAACUGCAACCAAAACUGGCGAGCUAGAGUAGGGCAGAGGGUGGUGGAAUUUCCUGUGUAGCGGUGAAAUGCGUAGAUAUAGGAGGGAACACCAGUGGAGAAGGCGACCACCUGGGCUCAUACUGACACUGAGGUGCGAAAGCGUGGGGAGCAAACAGG